AUUUUAUUUUUAAUAGUGCACUAAAAUACAAAAGUGGCAGUUUGUGGAUUCCUUACCAAUGUAUAAAUGUUUGUCUGUUUUAGGAGAAACAUCUGAGCCUACAUUGAUAAUUGAAUAACUGAGAUCUCCAUUAAGUCUUCUGAGGUAAGAAAUGGGGCUGGGUUUUUAUGCAAUUUCGAUUACAUGAUUAAAUUACAAUUUGAUUCAAUCUUGAUUAUUUUGGAUAUGUAUCAGGUACAGUUCAUGGCUAAUUUUCUCAAGGAAAAAAAACAAAUAUGAUUUUUUUUUUUGCUGAGGUAAAUGUGACGGUACGUGACAUUGUUUACAAGCUGUUAUGUUGACAUCUUUGCAUGGUUAAAACACUGAUUGAUCGAUUACAUGAGACGGGAUACAGAUUUUGCAGCAGGUCAAACGAAGGGUCGUCCCGUGGCACCAAGCAUCCCGAAGCACUGGCUGGAGAUCUCAGAGCCGUCACUCCUCAGGGAGUUCAGGUUGCAGCGCAUACCGGCCUGACAGGAGAGGAGAGGAGGAGAAGGGUGAGAGGAGAUCUCCUUUGGGACCAAUCACACGCUUUCUCUUCCUCUCCAGCUCCCGCUCUUCUCCUCAACCCUCAGGGGUGAUCCUGGGACCAAGAUGAGCAAUUGAGUAGUUUGAACCUUCACAGGAUGAUUAUUUUGUGAUGUACUGUAUAAUGCUGUGUAGUAU
rnacentral:lncRNA from 1 species